rnacentral:lncRNA from 1 species
GAGCUCUCGUGCACCGGCGCGGCCCGACGGAGGCGCGUUCCUGCAGCCGGCGUGCGGGGCGGAGCGGAGCGGAACAGGAAAGGGGAGCUCCGUGUUCUGGCAGUCCAGUCAGGGAGCUGGUUCUUUGAAGAGGCAUCCAGACUGUCUCCUGAGAACCCUAAGAUCCCGGAAGCAUUGAACUGGAAGGGGUUGUGGAGAGAGCCUCAUUCCAUACCUUCUCCCACUUGACAGAUGGAGAACAGAGGCCAAGAGGAGGAUUGACUUGUACGAAAAGGAAGCAGAUGGAGUAGAAUAAGCAUGACAGAAGUUCACUCAGAGAUUUUCAGAGCCAUGUGCAGGGGCUCACUGGAGCUGGAGUCUUGAAUGAGUCACUUCAACUUUUGGAAUCUCAGUGGUUUCAUGAAUGAUUAAAUAAUGUGCUUUAUACUUGAAGCAAACUAGAAGUGU